CCUACGGGAGGCAGCAGUCGAGAAUCUUUCACAAUGGGGGAAACCCUGAUGGAGCGACGCCGCGUGGAGGAUGAAGGUCUUCGGAUUGUAAACUCCUGUCAUGAAAGAACAAGCAAUGUGGGUGAACAGCCCGCAACGUUGAUAGUAUUUCAAGAGGAAGGGACGGCUAACUUCGUGCCAGCAGCCGCGGUAAU
rnacentral:rRNA from 1 species